rnacentral:rRNA from 1 species
UAGUCCUGGCUGUAAACGAUGAACACUUGGUGUGGGGGGUAUAAAGUCCCUCCGUGCCGUAGAUAACUCGAUAAGUGUUCCGCCUGGGGAGUACGGCCGCAAGGCUGAAACUCAAAGGAAUUGACGGGGGCCCGCACAAGCGGUGGAGCAUGUGGUUUAAUUCGACGCAACGCGAAGAACCUUACCGGGGUUUGAACUGUACCGGCAACAUCCGGAGAUGGAUGGUUUCCUUCGGGAACUGGUAUAGAGGUGCUGCAUGGCUGUCGUCAGCUCGUGUCGUGAGAUGUUGGGUUAAGUCCCGCAACGAGCGCAACCCUUGUCUGUAGUUGCCAUCAGGUUAAGCUGGGCACGUCUACGGAGACUGUCGGCGAUAAGCCGGAGGAAGGUGGGGAUGACGUCAAGUCCUCAUGGCCUUUAUGUCCCGGGCUACACACGUGCUACAAUGGGUGGAACAGAGGGCAGCGAGCCUGCGAAGGCAAGCGAAUCCCAAAAAUCCAUUCUCAGUUCGGAUUGC